GGAAGUAAAAGGUCGUAACAAGGUUUCCGUAGGUGAACCUGCGGAAGGAUCAUUAUUGUAUAACCGAGGUGCGAGGGCUGUCGCUGACCCGAAAGGUCGUGCACGCCCGAGUGCCCUCACACACAUCCAUCUCACCCCUAUGUGCACCACCGCGUGGGUCCCCCUUUGGCUUGUUCGGAGGGGGGCUUACGUUUCCACACAAACUUUGUAUGCAGUGUAGAAUGUAUUUUUUGUUUUUGCGAUCACGCAAUCAAUACAACUUUCAACAACGGAUCUCUUGGCUCUC
rnacentral:misc_RNA from 1 species